rnacentral:rRNA from 1 species
AAAUUUAUAAUAUAAAUUUAAAUUUAUUAGGUGAAAUUUUUAAAUUUAUUUAUUUAUUAUUAUUAAAAAUAAUUUAAGCUAUAAACUUUUUAUAAUAAACUAGGAUUAGAUACCCUAUUAUUAAAAAUAAAUAUUUAAAUGCUAAAGUAGUAUUAGUUAUAUUCUUAAAAUUUAAAAAAUUUGGCGGUGUUUUAGUCUAUUUAGAGGAAUCUGUUCUGUAAUUGAUAAUUCACAUUGAACCUUACUUAAAUUUGUUUAAUUUGUAUAUCGCCGUCAUCAGAAUAUGUUAUAAGAUAAAAAUUUUCUAAAAAUUUAAUUUAAUAAAAUGUCAGGUCAAGGUGCAGUUUAUAUUUAAGUAGAAAUGGAUUACAAUAAUUUUAUUUAAAUGGAUAAUUUUUUGAAAUAAAGAUUUGAAGGUGGAUUUAAUAGUAAUAUAAAAGAGAUUAUUUAUAUGAUUUUAGCUCUAAAACAUGUACAUAUCGCCCAUCGUUCUUAUUUUUAAAAUAAGAUAAGUUGUAACAUAGUAGAUGUACUGGAAAGUGUAUCUAGAAAGA